GGAAUUGUGCCUGAACAUAGGGCCACUUUGAUAGAGUGUAUUAUGAGGGUUAAAAUCCCUCCGACUCCU
rnacentral:tRNA from 1 species